ACACAUUUGAACAUCGACAUUUCGAACGCACAUUGCGGUCCGUGGAGAAACAUCCAGGACCACUCCUGUCUGAGGGCCG
rnacentral:rRNA from 1 species